AAAAAGACAAACCCUGAUUUCCGUAUCCAAUAUUUGACCGUCCGUCUUAUUUGAAAAAAUUAUGAAAAAAUUAAAAAGACAAGUCACGCAUAAAAUAUUAAUUAUGUUUUAUCAUCUAACAACAAUGAAAAUACGAAUUAUAAAAAAAAUUUAUAUAAAACGGACAGUUAAAAUUGAACACGGAAAUUCAGGGUUUGACUUUUU
rnacentral:pre_miRNA from 1 species